CGGGCGAGUGACGAGUCAGUCGGUGUUAGUGAAUGUCCUCCACUCGCUGGGUCGUGCUCGUGCGCCUCCCUCAGCACUCGUAGCAGUAGUCGACCUCAAAGUGUAUCUCAUCCACAAUUUGUUUUCUUUAUUGUAAAGUAAAUUUGUUUUUAGAUGUUUACCCCCUUCAUUUUGUUGUAAGAUUUCGGGUAUAUGCAUAACUCAGAAAAGACUACAGUACUAAGGCUGAGAAAACAUGGCGUGUACUAUACUUUGAGUACUAUGACAUCAGUGUCUGUGAUAACACAUGUGUGAAUACGUUUAUAUGUCAAUUAUGAUGGUGAAGGCAGUUCGUGGUCGUGUGUACCAGCAGCAGGUGACGACAAUGGGCAUUCAUAGACUCGUGAUAAGGUGUGAUAUAACUACACUCACCAGCGUGGUCACAUUUGAAACGUGAUGGUUUGUGACGCACGCAAGUACACAAACGCUUGGAUGAUUACAUAUUAGAGGCGUAAUAGUUCAUAUUAGAGGCGUAAUAGUUCGAAACAGCCACAUGUGUAAUUGUAACUGGUUUGUGUUAGAGCCACAAGUGACGAUGAUUUGUAUUACACCCACGUGUGACGCAUAAUGGUGUGUUUUACAGCCACACAAAAUGGUGUGUUCUACGGCCACACAUCAAACAUAACUGGAAGCGUCUUUUCGGCGCCGUGCUAAAUGGUCUUAAUCGUCAUUACACCUCGCUUACGACCAUCUAGCACGGGUGUUGCACUGACCUGUGACUUCAGAAGCAGCCUCGACGAGUCAGCAAGGUGCUCCUCCACUCCACCGUCACUACCUUCUCCACUACGGAAAAUUCUACUCCAGGAAACCCUUCAAAGUGGAAUGGACACAAGGGAGUCUCAGUGAGGUGAUACUAACCGAAAGAUCUCCAGAUUCCUCACGGGCGCGGGCCUCUUCAAGCAGGGAAUCUGCUGCCAGGCAGAGGGUCUCACAGUUACCGCCAGUCUCACUCUCCGUGAACAUCCAAAGAAAACGGGCGACUAUGGAGGUGUGAACAUCUCAGCGGAGUUAUCCUUAGCUCAUCCCAGAACUCUUAGAAAACGGCGGGAGUGAGGUGUGGUCUACCCGUGGACUCCAGAAGUCUGGGGAUCUCGUGCGAGGCUAGACGCAGCAACAUCGUUCAUCCAGCUUUUGUUGUGCGUAACCCCACGGCCUCCUGAGACGCGCCGCCGCCUUAUGCACAAGAGACGUUGGAGCUAAUAUUCCGUGGAGUAGAGGCCAGCCCCAUCCCUCCACGGAGCGGGCAACCGACACCCUUACGGGGUGCUGACGGUGGGCGGGACAAGGUGAGGCGACGCUACAGUAAUUGUCACCUGCACGAGACAGACAGAGAGACAGAUGGUCGCCGCCCAGCAAACACGACGCCACACCCCCCCAUCUGACGACAGCCAAGCCUAAGAUGUAUGGGCGUGUUGAGACUCGCCCACUCUCUCACUGUUACCAAAACGACACCAGAGGAGACCUAGGCCGUAGUGAGGUGUGUGUGUGUAUGUAAUAAUAAUGUGUGGGGGGCUAAGAGGGUCAUUGUCAGGGCCUCUUCCCUCUCCACACCAGUGAUCCCAGUAACACGCCUCUCAUCGUGGCUGGAGGUGAUGAACAUGUGGGGCAGAUAACAGGUCUGGCAUCGUGGGAGUGUGGUGGUGGUGCCCAGGGCGGUGUGGCUGGAGGGUGGGAGAGAGCGGGAGUAACAUUGUGGUUCUCAUAUACAAAUUGCACAACUCAUCCUCCUCAUACCAACAUUACUACGCCGCCGACAGCAAAACACACACACACACACACUAACUUUCUCACUAAUUAAAUUGCUCGGUGAGAACGCUACUUGUUAUUGCGUCCCAGACCUGCAGCCCUCCUAGCCCAUUUCCUUGCUCUGCUUCACUACAAAAACGAAAACUUUGUCAACACUAACUCAGGAACAACACUGCUGUCUGUAGUUUAUGUACUGAACGUUAUGUAUAUAUAUAUAUACUGUACUCGGAUCAAAUAAAGUUUUACAAUA